AUUGAACGCUGGCGGAAUGCUUUACACAUGCAAGUCGAGCGGCAGCGCGGGGGCAACCCUCGGCGGCGAGCGGCGAACGGGUGAGUAAUACAUCGGAACGUGUCCUUGAGUGGGGGAGUAGCUCGGCGAAAGCCGGAUUAAUACCGCAUAAGCUCUGAGGAGGAAAGCGGGGAUUCGCAAGGACCUCGCGCUGUUGGAGCGGCCGAUGUCGGAUUAGCUAGUUGGUGGGGAAAGGCCCACCAAGGCGACGAUCCGUAGCUGGUCUGAGAGGAUGAUCAGCCACACUGGAACUGAGACACGGUCCAGACUCCUACGGGAGGCAGCAGUAAGGAAUAUUGCGCAAUGGGCGAAAGCCUGACGCAGCGACGCCGCGUGGGGGAUGAAGGUCUU
rnacentral:rRNA from 1 species